GACGAACGCUGGCGGCGUGCUUAACACAUGCAAGUCGAACGGAAAGGCCCUGCUUUUGUGGGGUGCUCGAGUGGCGAACGGGUGAGUAACACGUGAGUAACCUGCCCUUGACUUUGGGAUAACUUCAGGAAACUGGGGCUAUUACCGGAUAGGAGCUCCUGCUGCAUGGUGGGGGUUGGAAAGUUUCGGCGGUUGGGGAUGGACUCGCGGCUUAUGAGCUUGUUGGUGGGGUAGUGGCUUACCAAGGUUUUGACGGGUAGCCGGCCUGAGAGGGUGGCCGGCCACAUUGGGACUGAGAUACGGCCCAGACUCCUACGGGAGGCAGCAGUGGGGAAUAUUGCACAAUGGGCGGAAGCCUGAUGCAGCAACGCCGCGUGCGGGAUGACGGCCUUCGGGUUGUAAACCGCUUUCGCCUGUGACGAAGCGUGAGUGACGGUAAUGGGUAAAGAAGCACCGGCUAACUACGUG
rnacentral:rRNA from 1 species